ACUUCAACCUUGCAGGAUUCAAAUCUAUCUUAUCUUAAAAGAAUGCAUCCCCUAUAAUUAAAAAAAAAAAAAAAGUCAUUUUAAAGCCGCAGAGGCAGGUGCUCUGUGAUUUGCUGGAAGAAGUUUGUUAAGGGUUAUAAAUAGGGCAAGAUUUACCCUUUCUCUGAGAUUCAAAAUCCUUGCAAGUACCAUGGCUGGGAAUUUAAAGGAAAUCAUCUGAAAGUUGAACAUUUGUCUUCACCAUGGUUUUCCAAAUGAAAGGGAAACUGUCUUGGCAAAAACGCAUCAACUUUCAGAGACCGAGCAAAGCUGGUGAAAGCGACCCGGAUGUUCAUGCGAAUGUAAACUCCGUUUGUCUCGCUCACCAUUGUGAUACCAGAGCUGAACAGGUAAGGAGGGGCUUAAUAAAUCAUUGUUGGCGUGAACAAGUAAGUAGAUUGUAACUACGUCAGAAACGAUUGGUUCAAGAGGACCGUGAGAUUGGCUUCCAAAUAUUGGUCGAGAGCUUGAAGUAGGAUGCGCCAAGGAUAUAUUUAAUAGGUUCCUGUGAUCAGGUGACUUUUCUGGAUCUAGAAAUCUGAGGAGGUGACAGUGUAAUAAACUGCGGUCUUCCUGUGAGGAAGGAGUUAAACGGGUUUAAACCUGGAUUUCUGAGGGAAAUACUGUGCUUAGCAGGGGCAAGGGCCUCCAUUUCGGCCACAGGAGGGGGACGCAGGCCUUCCAGUCCUGCUUAGUGAGCUUGACCAAAGGUGACGAUGACUAAGGGCUAAGGUCGUGCCCUCCCUCCCUCCAAAUCGAUACUUUAAUGUGACUUAUCAGAAAGAGAAAGAACUGUUUACUUUAAAACCCUGGAUCCCAUAAAGGGAGCGGGGAAAGGCCUAAACCCCACAGAAGCUCAGGGCUGGCGCCCAUGGCCACCCCCAUACAGCCAGGAGAGGGGAGAACAGAAGGCACCAUCCCACUGGCAGAGAACGGGCCCUGGGCCCGGAGAAGACAUGAGGUGACUGGAAGGUUACCGAAAGCUUCAGGCUUUCAAGGCAUACAAGGCCCACGCGGAGAAGUGCAGAAGGGCUCAGACAUUGCUAUGAGCUUCUGAAGUCAAAUGACCCCAGGAGCUUGACCGAUAGAGAGCUCUCCAAGCGUGUCCUACCAGGACCUUUGUCACUAGUGAAUUGAUCACCUCCCGAUGAUUCUUUCCAACUGAGCUAAGAGAUUUCUGGAGCCUCUCGCCAUGGUCAGAACAUCCCAGGAGUGACCAAGAACGGGGGCUUUCUGUUCUAGUCCCUUGGGCAAAGACAAAGCAGAUGAGCCUGGCUAAGUUGUUAGAAGGUGCUGUAGGGAAGGGAAGAACCAGGGAUGGUUAAGCACACGAGUGUGUCCCCUGCGGCUGCACCCAGAGUGCCAGGGGUUUGCGGUAGCAAAGGGGGCCAGCUGGAACUCUAGAGUUGGUAUUCGGUGUGAGUCUUGCCAAAUGCCCAGGGGAAAAUUCCCCCUGAAGACAGCAGGUCUAAGAGUGAGACAGGUGCCACUUUCCUGCCACCUUGCACCCUGAAAAGGCGAGCCAGGGUCACAGACAGGAACCAAAGGAGGUCAGUCUCUUCGUAGGAAGAUAAGCAAUCAACACAGUGAAAAAGGAAAGAAAAAAAACAAAAACAGUCUGAUGUUUUACACUAAAAUGAAUAUGCUAGCUAUCUCGAUAAAACUGGAGAGAAAAAAAGAGGCGGGGACCAGCACUCCAAUCCCGCGGAAGCUGAGUGGCUUCCGUGGUGUGCUCUCAACCGCACGGUCCAGGUUGAAGAGGGUUGUUUCACGGUCUGCGUGUGAAUAAGGGACAUUUUUACUGAAAAAAAAGGCAGAAGGAUUCAUUUUCAAGUUAAGAAUGGGCCCAUUUUACGGCCGAAGCAAUGCUCUGGUUAACAACUCAGUUAUCUUGGGGAAGGAGUAAACUGGCCUCCAUCCCUCUCCAUUUCCAGCAUUUUGGGGAAAAGAAAGGCUGAGAUAAAAUGCUUUAUUUGCUCCCAUGCUCCACUGUGGGCAGGAGCUCAUACAUCAGUCAGAAACCCUUUUUUUUUUUUUAAACAAGAAAUCAAGUAAACCAGAAGGGAUUUAUUCACAGGAGGCUCCCUUUUGCUAGAAAAGGAGUAUUAUUAACAAAAAAAUGGAAUAGUUCCCCUCUCUCCAUUUUCCUCCUGUCCUUCCCUCCUCUCAUCUAUAUCACCCGCUACUGCAGUGGGAAACCGCUGCGGUGAGUAAGAUGUGACACCUGAGCCCCGUGGGAUGCCUCUGUAUCCAACAGCUGUUACUGAGAGUGGAUUACAGCUCGUCUGAAUGGUCUCUCUGUGGAGCUGGCGAGGCUCUCUGGUGAUGCUCAGUGGCUAUGGUGGAAUGUGCAGGAAUGGGCGUUCACUGGCUCACAUUCUGUCUGGCACCAUUCUGAUUGUUCCAGUUACAUUUAUGAGGGAAUCAAACGAGGAAAAUAAUUCCAAGUCCCUUGCUGGAAAAGACCACGUGAGUGCAGUCCACAUGCCUACGAUACACGGUAAAGGUCCUGAGAAGCUUCCAUCUGGAGAAGAGGAGGGCCAUUCCUGCCUGGCCUGCGCCUCCUUCCCCUCCCAUGUCCUCCCUCCUGGCAUCAUCCACGCUCGAGAGGAGACCCAGACCCCCCUGAAAUAAUUAAUCCACUGACAUUCCUUUCUUGUGUUUUUCUGGAGUGCAUGCUAAUGGAAGGAGAGUUGAUAGAGGGUUACACAAAUCACCCCCAUGCACACUGUUUCACUUGACCCAGAAAAUGCAGGGCAGAGAUGCCCGGAUCGGGGCUCCUUCCACAGACAGCAGACUAAGAGUGGUCUGGUCAUGCCAACCACAACUGAACGUGGGUCUCCUAAAUCUAAGGUUCUAUCCUUUACCUGGGUCCUUCCCUGGCCUGGUUAUUCCAUAGAACCUCAUGCUUCACGACUGAGGCUGUGUAGAAACUGGGUUAAUCCUACCAGUAUUGGAUCAAUAUCCCCAGGCCCCCAUCUGCUUUGUCAAGGGAUUCUGAGGGAAGCGUGUAGAAGAGGAGAGGGAUGAGUCAUAGGAUAAUCUUUCCCUGAGAGUACUCUUAAUGCAGGGAAAGCCAAAUACUGUGAAACUCUGUAACGGUGAAGUGAAAGAGAAGGGAAGGGAAGGAACAUCUAAGCAGUAGCUUGGAAUCAGGAAGGGAGUGGCCAAACUAUGAGGACACGGACCAGCCAACUCGGUGACCCAGCCAACUGCUGCAGCAUCGGCGGACGCAGAGCUGCAGGCUCUGAAUCUCUCCCAGGCUCAGCGACAACUCAAGGAUGGCCUCACGCAUUCCUCCUCCCUCCCACUCACCCUGAGAUUUUGCUCAGAUGGAAUUAAACAGGGAGCCGAAAAAAAGGGCAUUCUGUAUCUUUUCUACUAGGUUGACUCACAUAACAGCUUAUUACGAUUCCUGCCUGGGUCCGUGCUGCAUUCAGGGUUAGGGACCCGUUCUUUCUGCAGAUCUACAUGUAAGGAACACACAUUGUGAAGCCGUGUCUACCAGUCCCACCGCUCC